UCCCUGGUGGACUAGUGGCUAGCAUAAAGCGCUCUCAUUGCCACGGUUCAGGUUCAAUUCACGGCCAGGGAA